UACGUAGGGGGCUAGCGUUGUCCGGAUUUAUUGGGCGUAAAGAGCGUGUAGGCGGCCAUGUAGGUCCGGUGUGAAAACUCGAGGCUCAACCUCGAGACGUCGGUUGAAACCGUACGGCUAGAGUCCGGAAGAGGAGAGUGGAAUUCCCGGUGUAGCGGUGAAAUGCGCAGAUAUCGGGAAGAACACCCGUGGCGAAGGCGGCUCUCUGGGACGGUACUGACGCUGAGACGCGAAAGCGUGGGGAGCGAACGAGG
rnacentral:rRNA from 1 species